ACAUGCCCCUCCUCUCCGGUACGUCAUUGCUGCGGUUAUUAACCACAACACCUUCCUCCCCGCUGAAAGUACUUUACAACCCGAAGGCCUUCUUCAUACACGCGGCAUGGCUGCAUCAGGCUUGCGCCCAUUGUGCAAUAUUCCCCACUGCUGCCUCCCGUAGGGGGGCGGGGGCGGCGGGCCGGGCGCGGGGCGCGGCGGGCG
rnacentral:rRNA from 1 species